rnacentral:rRNA from 1 species
GACGAACGCUGGCGGCGUGCUUAACACAUGCAAGUCGAACGGAAAGGCCCUGCUUUUGUGGGGUGCUCGAGUGGCGAACGGGUGGGUAACACGUGAGUAACCUGCCCUUGACUUUGGGAUAACUUCAGGAAACUGGGGCUAAUACCGGAUAGGAGCUCCUGCUGCAUGGUGGGGGUUGGAAAGUUUCGGCGGUUGGGGAUGGACUCGCGGCUUAUCAGCUUGUUGGUGGGGUAGUGGCUUACCAAGGCUUUGACGGGUAGCCGGCCUGAGAGGGUGACCGGCCACAUUGGGACAGAGAUACGGCCCAGACUCCUACGGGAGGCAGCAGUGGGGAAUAUUGCACAAUGGGCGGACGCCUGAUGCAGCAACGCCGCGUGCGGGAUGACGGCCUUCGGGUUGUAAACCGCUUUCGCGUGUGACGAAGCGUGAGUGACGGUAAUGGGUAAAGAAGCACCGGCUAACUACG